AUGAAAGUCUUGCCUUUUGGUAGGACGACGGAGGCGCUCUCGCGUCUCGGUCCUCCCUCGAGGCGCCGUUCAAGGGGUGGUUGGGGGCUGUGGUCCUGGUGCGUGCUGGUGGGUGGCGGCGGUGCUCGGCUCCUCCCCUCAUUCCCGGUGUUGGUGGUGGCGUGUUGGUCCUUUCACAACUUUCAGCAGCUCCUCGCCUUGUUUGCUGAUUGGUUGCCGGUGGUGGGGGUCCGCCUGUUGGAACGGUCUGGACGAAGGGGAGAUAGUUGUCUUCCCUCCGGCAGUGGCCCGAGGCGGCGGGUGGCAGAGUCAAUGUUUUCGUUCAAGCUGUCUGGAUCUUCACAUCCACGCCAAUUGAUGUCGUCAGGUGGCUUCGGCCCUGCUGUUCUGGCUGGGCGAGACCUCCGGCAGCUUGAUCGCAAUUUCUCCUGGUGCUUUGUUCGUGCUGCCCCUGGGCGUAGUGAAUUUGGCUUGUAA
rnacentral:rRNA from 1 species